GCGGUCGUGAUGUAGUGGCUAUCAUGCAUCCUUCACAGAUCACAUUCUGGCGUUCGGAUGAUGUCGAGGGUUCGAUCCCCUCCGAUCGUA